GAUGAACGCUGGCGGCGUGCCUAAUACAUGCAAGUCGAGCGAACGGACGAGAAGCUUGCUUCUCUGAUGUUAGCGGCGGACGGGUGAGUAACACGUGGAUAACCUAUCUAUAAGACUGGGAUAACUUCGGGAAACCGGAGCUAAUACCGGAUGAUAUUUUGAACCGCAUGGUUCAAAAGUGAAAGACGGUCUUGCUGUCACUUAUAGAUGGAUCCGCGCUGCAUUAGCUAGUUGGUAAGGUAACGGCUUACCAAGGCAACGAUGCAUAGCCGACCUGAGAGGGGGAUAGGCCACACUGGAACUGAGACACGGUCAAGACUCCUACGGGAGGCAGCAGUAGGGAAUCGUCCGAAAUGGGCGAAAGCCUGACGGAGCAACGCAGCGUGAGUGAUGAAGGUCUUCGGAUCGUAAAGCACUGUUAUGAGGGAAGAACAUAUGUGUGAGUAAAUGUGCACAUCUUGACGGUACCUAAUCAGAAAGCCACGGCUAACUACGUG
rnacentral:rRNA from 1 species